ensembl:snRNA U2 U2 spliceosomal RNA
GUAACUUCCUAUCCUUUUGGCUAGAAGUUAAGGGUAGUAUUUGUUCUUAGCUUAAUGUCUAAUAUAUUUUCUAUUUGAGAGCUAUAUAUUAAGUGAAUUUCUGAGGUUGGAAGGUGUAGUAAGAUCUUUUUCUGUCCACUCCACAUGUCUACUGGGUAUUGCAGUAUCUCUAUGAAUAGUGUGUCUACU